UACGAAGGGGGCUAGCGUUGUUCGGAAUUACUGGGCGUAAAGCGCACGUAGGCGGAUAUUUAAGUCAGGGGUGAAAUGCCGAGGCUCAACCUCGGAACUGCCUUUGAUACUGGCGAUCUUAGAGUCCGGGAGAGGUGAGUGGAACUCCGAGUGUAGAGGUGAAAUUCGUAGAUAUUCGGAAGAACACCAGUGGCGAAGGCGGCUCACUGGCCCGGUACUGACGCUCAGGUGCGAAAAGCGUGGGGGAGCAAACAGGG
rnacentral:rRNA from 1 species